ACUCAUUGGACCCGGGGGCGGUACCCGGCGCCUCCACCAAAAUAUAAUAAACAAAAAUUUAUAUUUUGGUGGGGGCGAAAUAGGAUCGACAAGAGUGUAAAGAUUGCUCUUUUACUCGGUAAGUACCACCGUUAUCGGACUAAAUGAGUAGUUGCAAAUGACAACUAUGCGGAGGCACGUCUCGCCGCUUAAACUGGUGUGAAUGCUUCAAAUUAAGUCUUAAACCGUCGCAGGUUUAAGCGGGGUUCGAAGG
rnacentral:tmRNA from 1 species